GACAGAAUAAAAUCUGGAUCACCCGCUGCAACGGUUCUGCGGGAGGAGAGAGCAAACAGCUGUCAAUAUUGGUCCGUAGCAAACCAGAGCACCAGGGACCAGUGCCAUGUGAUCAGCCUGCCUGGACUCAAGGGCAGAAGCCUCUGUAGGCUCUGGACUGUAGCUUCAGUAUAAGUCCAUAUCCACAAGAUGUUCGCUUUUCCUUGGAUUUUGAAUGUGCAGGAAAACUUCCAUAAAUUCAGAACUCACUGAGAACCCACAAGUCUGUGACUUUGACAUUCAUAACUCAAAAAUCAUCAUAGAUGAGCCAUAAAACAUAUCUCCUGACCACACAUGGUCAUUAAGUAUUCCAUUGCUCUUUCCACCAGACUGAGUACUAACCCCAGUGUCUUCACCUAACUCCAGUUCUGGUGCCUUCCAUUUUGCCUUCCUAAACUUCCUCUGCAGGUUCAGCUGGAAACAGUAUCUUUACACACUUUCUGUUGUGUAGUGUUGCUGUUUGCUGUUAAACGGCUGUUGUCAACUGGAAGUGGCUAAUUUUCAGUGAAAGGUGAAGCAAUCUGAUCCUGUUUGUAUAAUUUGUAUAUCAACUUGUGUCUAAAGCACUUCUGGAUUAAAAAAUAGAUUUAGCA